UGCCCGCUCACUGGACGUCGCGCUCCGCCGGUCGCUGAGGAAGCUCCACGGCGGUUGCGCGACCAAGGCGGCCAUGGCGGCGGCCGGCAGGGAGCAGGAGCGGGACCUGGCGCGCUUCGUCUACGUGACGCGCUUCGGCUCGCACCGGUGCGGCGGCGUCUUGCAGCUGGGCCGCCGCCGGGCUCGGGGCCGCGGGAGCACCGGGCGCGGGGCCGGCUGCAGCCCCGAGGAGCCGCGGGCGGCGGCCCGGGCCGGCGCGGAGCUGGCCCCCGGCCCCCGGGCUCCCGCGGCCUCCCCACCGGCGCCGGCGUCGAGCGCGCGGAGCGGUUCCCGGGCUGCGGCGCGAGCAGGUUUAACCCAGAAGAAUUUAGCUAAACAGUUUGAUUUCCCUAUACCUUUGAAUGAAGCUUCGAAAGUAAUGAAGAAAAAGAAAAAGGUUCGCGUAUGGAAUAAAGUAUACAAAGUCAUUUCUAGAAUGCUUGAAGAAAAUGAAAAAUACAGACUCAGGCUGAAAUACCAACAACUAUCCAGUGAAAGCAAGUUAACACAGUUGAUUGUAUGAAAGAAGACUGGCUUUCCUAACAGACUCAGAUUACACAAGAUGAAUCUUCUUAUCAUCUUCUGGAUUAACCUAUCUUUGGAUCCAUUUACCAAAGAAGAUUGUGAAGAGUUUAAAGAUGGAACUUUAAAUUGAAUCAUAAUUAUAUGUUAAUUUUGGUGUGUUUUGUUGGUAUUGGGACUUUAAUAUUUGAAUAGAAAAACUACCUUCUUUAUAAAUUAAUAGUAUUUCUUUACAAAUUAAAUAUGGUUGUAUGCACACAAGUGUUAUGCAAGUGUUUUUCAAGUGUGAAUUAGUACUUAUUCUGUAUUCUUUUAAAUUAAUCUUAUACAUAAAAUUUAAAUUGACAUAGCAAUACAAUUGCAGGCAUUUAUAUUUACCAAUGUUUCCCUUUAAUGAAUGUGUCUGCAAACCACCACUUUAUUCAUCCCUCAUUAUGAUAUAACUGCUUUAAAUUAAACUUCGAUUCAUUUAAAUUGUUUCUGGCUUUCUUCUUCUAAAUUUCCCAAUUGUCUUAUGAUAAAAACCUACAAUUUACAUAGUGACAAUUAUUUUCGGUGUUAAAACUAAUGGUUAUUUAAGCCAUCUUUUCAUCCUAAGGAAAGUUAGAAAAUUUAUGCAAAUUCUAAAUUGUAAUAUGGAGUAUUUUAGGAUAAUUUUGGGGCACAGAUCAAAGGAAACAUUCUUCUCCUUUUCAGGCCCCUAACUAAUAGAUACAUUCAUUUUUUUUUUCAGUCAAUAAGUGAGAGAUUUAGAAUUCUGAAAAUAAUUCAGAAAUGUUUCUCCGUGAAGAACCAUUAUUUUCUACUCAGUAUUAAGUAGUAAUCAGCUGUUACGUAGAUCAUUUUAUCUGCUUUUUGUUGAUGCAGUCUCUUUCCCUGCAUUGUUUUAAAGGCCUAUAUGGAACUGAAAACUUAGGAGGAAAAGACAAAAAGAGUUUGCCUGUGAUAAAAACAAAUAAAACAAAACAAAACAAGACAAAAAAAUCCCAUAUGGGGGUCCUGGAUGACUCAGUUGGUUAAGGUCUGACUUUGGCUCAGGUCAUGAUCUCGCAGUUCAUGCUUUCAAGCCCUGCGUUGGCCUCUGUGCUGACAGCUCAGACAGAGCCCGGAAGCUGCUUCCGGAUUCUCUGUCUCCCUCUCUCUCUGCCCCUCCCCCACUGUGCUCUGUGUCUCUCUCUGUCUCUCUCUCGCUCAAAAAUAAAUAAACAUAAAAAAAAAAAUUCCACAUCCAUCCUGAAUUUCUUGCCACAAAAAUUGAAGCACGUGCGUGGUAGACCUCUUUGGUUCUAAAGGCAGUACGUUCCUCACCUAGAAGUAUUGACCAGGCCCAUCUAUUAACUGACACAGAAGGUUGCCAACUUUGAGUGGGACCCAGUUCAGGAAGGGGCUUUGCAGUAGGUCCAGUCCCGGAAAUAAGCAGUCCUGCUCCUUGAAUUAUAUGAUUUGGAAGACCCUUUGGUGUUGGGGAUAUCAUUAGUGGGAAAGGAUGUAGUAUGAAGCUUAUGAAAAGCCAACCAAAGGGGCCCCAUAGUGGAAUUAUAAAUCAAGGUCAUACUGUCCACAGCAUAAAAUUAAAUGCCAUUUGAGAGAUAGCUUUAACAUGUUUGAGGCUUUGGUAGAAACAAAUCGCUUGGCCAUGAGGCAAAAAACAAAAACAAACAAACAAAAACCAGCAGCAGACUCACAAAAUGGAAAUAGCACAUCUGCGAAGGAAGACUUCCCAGCAGAAAGUUCCUAAGUGGGGCCAGACAGCACAAGCAGCAGGCUGUGUGAGCAGAUAGUCCAAUCCUCAUGUCACCGACAUCAGUUGUACUAGUUCCCUUCCCUCUGCUUGCACCUGUGGCCAUAUAAGCGGUCCCAUACAACCAGAAAAAAGAGGAGGAAAAGUCUGAGCUUUGGUUUACGAAUGGAUUUUUCCAUUGUGGGUGCAAGUCAAUAUAGAUGGUGUUAGUACUAUAGCCAUGUUCCAGAGUGGCCCUGAAAGAUACUGGAAAGGGAAAAGGGCAGGGUUGUGAGCUGCACAAAUGGCUAUCCACUUUGUGUGAUAGGUGGGGUGGUUCAAGGCGAGAAUCCAUAUGAAUCUAUCGAUGACCUGGUCAUCUGAUCUGGGGCAUGAUAGGAAGGACUGGAAUAUCGGAGACAAAAAGAUCUGAUACAGAGGCAUGUGGAUGGACAUACGGGAAGGGGCACAAAGUGUGAAUUGUUUGUAUCACUUGCCAGUGCUCAUGAGAAAGUAUCCACUGCUGAAGAGACACUGACCAACUAAGUAGACAGAAUCAUGACCAGUUGGUGUCAGCCACCUGUCAUCACUGGCUGCCCAGGAACUUGACCGAUUUCUUUAAUUUCAAUUAUUUUUUUCCUCUGCCUGCUUUGGGCCUAUUUUUUAUUUUUUGUAGAUUCUUAAAUUGGGGGCUUAGAUUACUGAUUUGAGACAUUUCCCCUUUUCUAAUGUAUGCAUUUAGUGUCAUAAUUUUUCCUCUCAGCACGGCUUUAACUAUGUCCCACAGGGUUUUGCAUGUCACGUUUUCAUUUUUUAUUUAAUUGUGUAUUUGUCUAUGCUUUAUGUUCUAUCAGUUUUUCUUUACAUAUUUUGUAUAUUACUUGGUGCAAACAUAUUUAGUAUUGCUCUGUGUUCUUUGUGAAUUGACCCUUUAUCAUUAUAUAAUUAAUGUUCCUCCCUGUGUCUGGUAAUUUUCUUUACUCUUAAGUCUACUUUAUAGGAUCUUAAUAUAAUUACUUCUGCCUUGUUUUAAUUAAUACAUCUUUUUCUAGCCUUUGACUUUCAACUUGCCUAUAUCCUUCAUUAUAUUUGAAAUGUUUAUACACAGCAUAUAGUUGGGUCAUGUUUUUUAACCCACUCAGCCAAUCUCUGUCUUUUAAUUGAUAUAUUUAUACCAUUUAUAUUUUUUA